rnacentral:lncRNA from 1 species
UCGUUUCUCAGGUUGCAACUGCGGUUCCAAUGGUCUUCUCCCACAUGCUACUUCAAGCAUGAAAACACCAAAGGCGUAAACAUCAGUUGCAGUGGAAGCUCCCAUUGUGAUUAGCUCAGGUGCCAUGUACCCUACUGUUCCCACAGCAGCUGUUGUGGCUGCAUCGCCUCCGUGUUCAUGAAACCUAGCCAUGCCAAAAUCUCCUAACCUACCAUUGAACUCAGCGUCCAACAUAAUGUUUGAAGCUUUGACAUCUCGGUGCAGAACAACUUGGUCAGCAGCUGUAUGGAGGUACCACAGAGCAGACGCUAUUCCUUUAACAACCACAAGUCUCUGUGACCAAGGAAGAACCGGUUUCGUCUCAUCAAACAAAUGCUCGUCAAGGCUACCGUUAGGCAUGUACUCCGAGACAAGAAGAAGUUCCCGCUUCCUCCUGCAGUACCCAAAAAGUGGAACAAGAUUCCUGUGUUUCAGACAUUCCAUGCUCACCACUUCAGCCACAAAUUGCUUCACACCUUCAUCACCAUUAUGUGACACUCUCUUCACUGCUAUUUCUCUGCCUUGAGGAAGAUGAGAAAAGCUAGGAAAGCUUGGAGAGUAAAAACACACUUAUGUUCUCUAGAUGAUGAAGUUAGCUUUACCGUAUUGGGUCUUACUAUAUUAACCAAACCCUUCAUGUGCAAAAGCAAUCACUGAAGCUAAGUAUGGAGAGAGUAGAAUAGAAAGCUGAUGUGAGAGUGGGAACUCCCAUAGUUAAGCAAUGAAGAUACCAGAUCUUCUUCACUUGUUUUGAUUAUGCAAGCAGCCACCAAUAUCAGAACAAGAUUAAACUUAGUGAACAAGAAAAAAUGAAUUUAGUUGAAAAUUGGUUCGGAAUGGUUUUUGGUUUCAAACUUCAACACUUCUUCCAUUCGGAUUCAAAAUCUCUAUGACUAAUUUAUAACCAUUUUAACCAGAUUGAAAUCAGUUAUAAGUUCUGAAAAUAGUUUAUUUGUUUAUUGGAUCGAAUACUUAUAUGGACUGAAACAUCCAUCCAUAUUUACAACAAUCAUUGCAAUAUAAAACGGUUGACAUAAUACACACAUCAUGAACUAGUUCUCACAUGUAUGUUAGACUCCAUUACGACUAGGUUUGUAGUCUCUCGUAGCCGUAGGAGUGACUGUUAUCCAAUCGUCACAUCAUAUGUAGCUAAACAUUUUCUCUCGAGUACAAUCAAAACCCUGACAAUUAAAAACUCUUGUUGCAAUAAUAACCAUACACAUUUUUCCUAUAUGUUUAUAAUCAUAUCACCAAAGUGGAUAAACAUGUUGCGAAGGGACAAACUUAGUACAUUAGGACAAGGGAGACUGAUCGCUACAACAAUCUUGAGAGCUGCUAAAGAUCUGUUUGCUGAUAUGAACGGGAAUUACCUCUGACUGCUGAUGCUGUAAAGAUUGAACUCAAAACUCUUCUGUAGGCGACCUGACAGUUUCAACAGCUGGUUAGAAAGUCUGAGUCUUAGGCUUCUCCGCUUCUGAAACUAUGUGAAGAGAGUUCUUAGUCUCUAUUGUCUGUCCCCAAGGCUGAUCUGUUGACUGACCAGCGUAAGGUGAGUGGUUUGCAGAAGAUGAUGACAUCGAGGGCGCUGACCAACUCCAUGAAGCGGAUGAGACUACCAGGGAAGCUGCAUCAACCAGAACCGGAGCAAAUGUGCCGAUCCCCACAGUAUAUGGUGAGAAAUCAGGCAAAGGCAGGUUGUUGUUUAGGUACAAGACCACUUGUUCCAUCGUAGGUCUAGACUCUGGCACGAUAUUUGAACAGAGCAACCCGAGUUUCAUAACCAUCUCGACUUCCUCUGGUAAGAACUCAUCUCCCAGUCUUGGAUCAGUGGCAUCGAGCAAAGCAUCCUUCUUCCAACACUCGCAAACCCAUUUGAUCAUAUGUCGUUUCUCAGGUUGCAACUGCGGUUCCAAUGGUCUUCUCCCACAUGCUACUUCAAGCAUGAAAACACCAAAGGCGUAAACAUCAGUUGCAGUGGAAGCUCCCAUUGUGAUUAGCUCAGGUGCCAUGUACCCUACUGUUCCCACAGCAGCUGUUGUGGCUGCAUCGCCUCCGUGUUCAUGAAACCUAGCCAUGCCAAAAUCUCCUAACCUACCAUUGAACUCAGCGUCCAACAUAAUGUUUGAAGCUUUGACAUCUCGGUGCAGAACAACUUGGUCAGCAGCUGUAUGGAGGUACCAUAGAGCAGACGCUAUUCCUUUAACAACCACAAGUCUCUGUGACCAAGGAAGAACCGGUUUCGUCUCAUCAAACAAAUGCUCGUCAAGGCUACCGUUAGGCAUGUACUCCGAGACAAGAAGAAGUUCCCGCUUCCUCCUGCAAUACCCAAAAAGUGGAACAAGAUUCCUGUGUUUCAGACAUUCCAUGCUCACCACUUCAGCCACAAAUUGCUUCACACCUUCAUCACCAUUAUGUGACACUCUCUUCACUGCUAUUUCUCUGCCUUGCGGAAGAUGACCUCUAUAGACUUCACCAAAGCCUCCUUUUCCGAGGAACUCAUCUUUACUGAAACCCUUUGUUGCUUUGUACAAGGACUUGUAAGAGAACCGAUGUGCAUCAAACUCCUUCUCCCAUGUUUCAGAAACUUCAGAAUACUUCUUCCUCCUGCGGACAUAAACUCCAGCAAGAAAAGCCAAAACCGCAACAGCCACACAAACAACCAGAGCAAUAAUCCAAGGAGGUAGAUUCUUACGUGGAGCUUUAGGAUGAGGAACUUUAGGAAGUUUUGAGAUGUCAAGACCAUGCGGCGAUCCUCUGCCUGUGCUGAAACUCCACCAAAGAAUAUAGUGACCACUCACUGCGUUCCCUGUUGCUGCGGAGAAGCCAACAAACAGUUUGGAACUAUUAGGAAAAAUCUUUGAAAGGCUGAUUGGUUGCGACAAAAGAGGCCGACUUGGCUUCUGGACUUUAAGAGGUGCGAUCCAUACACUGAGCACAGUGCCGUCAUAAUCCACCCAGACUUGUACGAUGAGACUACCAGGGAAGCUGCAUCAACCAGAACCGGAGCAAAUGUGCCGAUCCCCACAGUAUAUGGUGAGAAAUCUGGCAAAGGCAGGUUGUUGUUUAGGUACAAGACCACUUGUUCCAUCGUAGGCCUAGACUCUGGCACGAUAUUUGAGCAGAGCAGACCGAGUUUCAUAACCAUCUCAACUUCCUCUGGUGAGAACUCAUCUCCCAGUCUUGGAUCAGUGGCAUCGAGCAAAGCAUCCUUCUUCCAACACUCGCAAACCCAUUUGAUCAUAUGUCGUUUCUCAGGUUGCAACUGCGGUUCCAAUGGUCUUCUCCCACAUGCUACUUCAAGCAUGAAAACACCAAAGGCGUAAACAUCAGUUGCAGUGGAAGCUCCCAUUGUGAUUAGCUCAGGUGCCAUGUACCCUACUGUUCCCACAGCAGCUGUUGUGGCUGCAUCGCCUCCGUGUUCAUGAAACCUAGCCAUGCCAAAAUCUCCUAACCUACCAUUGAACUCAGCGUCCAACAUAAUGUUUGAAGCUUUGACAUCUCGGUGCAGAACAACUUGGUCAGCAGCUGUAUGGAG